rnacentral:rRNA from 1 species
CCUACGGGCGGCUGCAGUGGGGAAUAUUGCACAAUGGGGGAAACCCUGAUGCAGCGACGCCGCGUGAGUGAGGAAGUAUUUCGGUAUGUAAAGCUCUAUCAGCAGGGAAGAAAAUGACGGUACCUGACUAAGAAGCCCCGGCUAACUACGUGCCAGCAGCCGCGGUAAUACGUAGGGGGCAAGCGUUAUCCGGAUUUACUGGGUGUAAAGGGAGCGUAGACGGCUAAUCAAGUCAGAAGUGAAAACCCAGGGCUCAACUGUGGGACUGCUUUUGAAACUGAGUAGCUAGAGUGCAGGAGAGGAAGGAGUAAGUCCGAGGGGAGGGGUGGAAUGAGUAGAUAUGAGGAGGAAAACCAGGGGCGAAGGCGGCUUGCGGGACUGUAACGGACGUGGAGGCGCGAAAGGGGGGGGAGAAAACAGGAUUAGAUACCCGAGUAGUC